AUACGGAGGAUGCGAGCGUUAUCCGGAUUUAUUGGGUUUAAAGGGUGCGUAGGCGGAUUAUUAAGUCAGUGGUGAAAUACCCGUGCUCAACAUGGGCCGUGCCAUUGAUACUGGUAGUCUAGGGUUCCGUUGCCGUGGGAGGAAUGAGUAGUGUAGCGGUGAAAUGCAUAGAUAUUACUCAGAACACCGAUUGUGAAGACAUCUCACGAAGCGGCGACUGACGCUGAGGCACGAAAGCGUGGGGAUCGAACAGGAUUAGAUACCCUGGUAGUCCACGCAGUAAACGAUGAUGACUAACCGUUGGGAAGUAAUUUUCAGUGGCCAAGUGAAAGCGAUAAGUCAUCCACCUGGGGAGUACGACCGCAAGGUUGAAACUCAAAUGAAUUGACGGGG
rnacentral:rRNA from 1 species